AAUGAACGUUGGCGGCGUGGAUUAGGCAUGCAAGUCGUGCGUGUAGCUCUUUGCUUGCAAGGAGCGAAAGCGGCGAAAGGGAGAGUAACGCGUGGAUUAUCUACCCUCGGAUCUGGGAUAGCGGCGGGAAACUGCCGGUAAUACCGGAUAAUGUCUCUGGACCAAAGGUGUGAUUCCGUCCGAGGAUGAGUCCGCGUCCUAUUAGCUUGUUGGUGGGGUAACGGCCUACCAAGGCAAAGAUGGGUAGCGGGUGUGAGAGCAUGGCCCGCCUCACUGGGACUGAGAUACUGCCCAGACACCUACGGGUGGCUGCAGUCGAGAAUCUUCGGCAAUGGGCGCAAGCCUGACCGAGCGACGCCGCGUGCGGGAUGAAGGCCUUCGGGUUGUAAACCGCUGUCAGAGGGGAGGAAGUACAUUGGGGUUCUCCCCAGUGUUUGACCUAACCUCAGAGGAAGCACGGGCUAAGUUCGUGCCAGCCGCCGCCGUAACAC
rnacentral:rRNA from 1 species